GUUCAAAUAGCUCAGUUGGUAGAGCAAAGGACUGAAAAUCCUUGUGUCGGCAGUUCGAGUCUGCCUUUGAACA
rnacentral:tRNA from 4 species